AUGAAUGAUUCAAACACUCUACUUCCUGAUCCUGCAAGGAUAACCUCCUUAAAAUCAUCAUUCUUCGGUGGCAUCCCAAGCAUGAACACCCACCCUCCUGUCCAUCAUAAAUCCUCCACGCCGUCUGAUCCGCCAAACCCUAAUGAUGACAUCUAUCUUAGGUCCAUGACUGCUCUUCAGAAACGAAGGAUGGCAAAUGAUGCUUUUUGGGCUGACUAUAGUACUACAAAAGUAUGCCCUUGCUUUCCUGGUCUUCCUACUCUGGACAUUUCAACCAUGCAGUUUCCAUAA